CCUGAUACUUAUUCAUCGAGAUCUGUUUACUCUCGGCAUUUUCAGAUAGAGAAUCAUGGCUUGAAUUAAUACUGAGCAUAUCACUGGUUUUUCUGUCAUCAUGCUGCAGGUUUGAGUGUUGGAAAUGGUAACGCACACAUGGAAAGAGUUAGCAUGGAGGCUCUCACUUGCAACUGUUGGAGAAUUAAACAACCGCUUUUGAAACAGGGACCGAUGCCGGAUGUACGUCGGUGUUUGAAUGAGUCUCACCUUUUCUUGUUAUUCUUUUUGUAAAAAAUGAUCAAUAGUAUUUGGAACUCGAAACUCAGCGUCUUUUUAUCUUCAACGGUCACAACUUUUCUAUUUCUGUAUAAAUAUAGCAGCUUCAUUAACAGGUAUAAUAUAGAAUUUGUUGUAUUCCUG